rnacentral:rRNA from 1 species
AACGAACGCUGGCGGCAUGCCUAACACAUGCAAGUCGAACGAGACCUUCGGGUCUAGUGGCGCACGGGUGCGUAACGCGUGGGAACCUGCCCUUAGGUUCGGAAUAACUCAGAGAAAUUUGAGCUAAUACCGGAUAAUGUCUUCGGACCAAAGAUUUAUCGCCUUUGGAUGGGCCCGCGUAGGAUUAGCUUGUUGGUGGGGUAAUGGCCUACCAAGGCGACGAUCCUUAGCUGGUCUGAGAGGAUGAUCAGCCACACUGGGACUGAGACACGGCCCAGACUCCGACGGGAGGCAGCAGUGGGGAAUAUUGGACAAUGGGCGAAAGCCUGAUCCAGCAAUGCCGCGUGAGUGAUGAAGGCCUUAGGGUUGUAAAGCUCUUUUACCAGGGAUGAUAAUGACAGUACCUGGAGAAUAGGCUCCGGCUAACUCCG